UCUGGCCCUAGAGGCAUUGCAGGUGUGGCUGCUGUGUCACAUGUGCGUCAGUAGGUGGCAGAGAGGAGAGAGGCUAUGUCUGUGCUCGGGUUCUGACCUGUGAACAUCUGAAUGAUUAGUAACCUAACGCU